UCGAGAAUAUUCGACAAUGGACGAAAGUCUGAUCGAGCGACGCCGCGUAUAGGAUGAAGAUCUUAGGAUUGUAAACUAUUUUUCUCGCAGAAUAAGUAAUUGAAUGUAUGCGGGGAAUAAGGGGUUGCAAACCUCGUGCCAGCAGCAGCGGUAAUACGAGGACCCCGAGCGUUAUCCGGAUUUAUUGGGCGUAAAGAGUGCGCAGGAGGUUUUGUGCGUCUUCUGUUAAAUGUCACCGCUUAACGGUGUCACCGCAGGAGAUACGGCAGAACUAGAGCAUGUUAGAGGUGACUAGAACUCACGGUGUAGGGGUGAAAUCCGUUGAUAUCGUGGGGAAUACCAAAGGCGAAGGCAUGUCACUGGAACAUUGCUGACUCUCAUGCACGAAAGCGUGGGGAGCAAAAAGGAUUAGAUACCCCUGUAGUCC
rnacentral:rRNA from 1 species